AACGAACGCUGGCGGCAUGCCUAACACAUGCAAGUCGAACGAAGCCUUCGGGCCUAGUGGCGCACAGGUGCGUAACGCGUGGGAAUCUGCCCUUAGGUACGGAAUAACUCAGGGAAACUUGUGCUAAUACCGUAUGAUGUCGAGAGACCAAAGAUUUAUCGCCUAGGGAUGAGCCCGCGUAGGAUUAGCUAGUUGGUGGGGUAAAGGCCUACCAAGGCGACGAUCCUUAGCUGGUCUGAGAGGAUGAUCAGCCACACUGGGACUGAGACACGGCCCAGACUCCUACGGGAGGCAGCAGUGGGGAAUAUUGGACAAUGGGCGAAAGCCUGAUCCAGCAAUGCCGCGUGAGUGAAGAAGGCCUUCGGGUUGUAAAGACUCUUUACCCGGGUAUGAUAAUGACAGUACCGGGAGGAAUAAGCCCCGGCUAACUCCGUGCCAGCAGCCGCGGUAAU
rnacentral:rRNA from 1 species